rnacentral:rRNA from 1 species
GUUCGGAUUGUAGUCUGCAACUCGACUACAUGAAGCUGGAAUCGCUAGUAAUCGCGAAUCAGAAUGUCGCGGUGAAUACGUUCCCGGGUCUUGUACACACCGCCCGUCACACCAUGGGAGUUGGUAACGCCCGAAGCCAGUGACCCAACUGCAAAGAGGGAGCUGUCGAAGGCGGGACCGAUAACUGGGGUGAAGUCGUAACAAGGUAUC